rnacentral:rRNA from 1 species
AGAGUUUGAUCCUGGCUCAGAAUGAGCGUUGGCGGCGGGGUUUAGACAUGCAAGUCGAGCGGAAAGGUCCCUUCGGGGAUACUCGAGCGGCGAACGGGAGAGUAAUACCUGGACAACCAACCUCGGAGUCGGGAAUAGCCACUGGAAACGGUGGGUAAUGCCCGAUAGUCCGUGUUGGCCGAUGGCCGAUCCGGUAAAGGUGAUUCCGCUUCGGGACGGGUCCAGGUCCCAUUAGCUUGUUGGUGAGGUAAUAGCUCACCAAGGCUACGAUGGGUAGCGGGCCCGAGAGGGUGAUCCGCCUCACUGGGACUGAGACACUGCCCAGACUCCUACGGGAGGCUGCAGUCACGAAUCAUUGGCAAUGUACGAAAGUAUGACCAUGCCACGCCGCGUGGACGAUGAAGGCCUUCGGGUUGUAAAGUCCUGUCAGGGGUGAGGAAACGUACCGGUUUACCGGUGCCUGACGUUAGCCCCAGAGGAAGUCACGGCUAACUCCGUGCCCGCAGCCGCGGUAAGACGGAGGUGGCAAACGCUAUUCGGAAUCACUGGGCUUAAA